UUGACCGUUUCUUUUAUUUUCUUCUCUUCUCCUCGAUUUCUUACUUUUUCUCUCCCUCCUUGCUUCGCUUCAGUGUUUACGAAGCUAUUGCUUCCUCUGAGCUCUCUCUCUCUCUCUCUCUCUUAUUAAUAACCCAACCUUUAGUUUAGUGUUAAAAAAAACACAGAAUCUGGGAGAGUAAAAGGGAUCAAAAGACCAAAAAUGUUUUACUCGCAAUGUCUCGUGUCUAGAAAUGGACCUUUAGGAGCUAUUUGGGUCGCUGCGUAUUUCUUCAAGAAGCUUAAGAAAGCUCAAGUCAAAGCUACUCAUAUACCUUCCUCCGUUGAUCAGAUCUUGCAAAAAGAGUUAGAUGCGUUGACAUACAGGGUUUUAGCGUAUCUUCUUCUGGGUGUUGUAAGGAUAUAUUCCAAGAAGGUGGACUUUUUGUUCGAUGAUUGCAACAAAGCUUUGAUCGGUGUAAAAGAGUUUGUGGCUAAGGAGAAGAACAGAGAAAAGACAGCCGUGCCAUUGCCUGCAUCUACUGCGUGUUUUUCCAUUGUUUUGCCUGAGAGUUUCGAACUAGAUGCUUUUGAGUUUGAUCUUGGGAUUCUGGAAGAUUUUCAUGGGGGAAAUGUUAAGCCGCAGGAAGAUAUUACACUGAAAGAUGGAAGUCAGGAAACAGAGAGCAUGAACAUGUACUCGAUGGAAAGGUUUGACAUGGAUGAUGACCUCAUGUUUACGUUUCAUGAAACUUUCUCUGCCAAUCAGAAUGAAACCAAGCAUGAGAGUUUCGCUCAUGAUAUGGACAUGGACGCAGAAAAUGUCAGAGAUACUACUGAAGAAGCAUCAGUCAGAGUCACAGAAGCGGAACCACUGGAUGAUUCUAGAGAUCAUGAGAAUGCAUCUAGGCAAAGAGGGGAUCCAGAAUCAGAUGAUAUUAAUGUGGAACCGCAAAUGUCUGAAGAUAUAAGAAAAGCUCAAGAAGAACAUACAGUUAGAGAAACCAUAUGUACCAUUGUGCGGGGACUAGUGGAUCCUCAUGGAAUCUUAGGCGAUAAUCUACACAGAGAUGGGCACGCGGAGAGUUCAGAAUCGGAGAAAACCUCAGUGGAAACAAGUUGCCCAAUGAAGCAGCAGAGAGGGUCCCUCCUUUCUGAAUGCGAAAGUCCUGAAGCGAUUCACGGAAUUGAGGAGCAACCUUCUGGUGCCAGAAGAAUCGAUGGGGAGAAAGAGAUCCCGGCAAUUAGUACUAUGGAAGAACCAGUGUGUGUGACUGGUUCCAGAGACUUGCCAGAAGGCAUAGAGAAAUGUCGAGGCAGUAGUGAAGCGGAAAUGAUGAAAUUUGAGUUGUCUCAUGGGUCUCGUAAAGAGCAAUCUGAGACUCCUGAAGAGAAUCUCAAUGGUUCUGAGAAAGAUUUUCUCUCUGACAUGACUGUUUCAAAAGACCCCAGUAGAGGGUUUAAUGCAACAGAUAUGCCAGUUGCUGUCACUCCAAUAACACCUUUGCCGUUGAAAAAAUCUGGAGGGGAAACAAGCCCUCAGUUCUCGAUCAUUCCUACUCCGGCUGCAAAGGAGUCUUCUCGGGUUUCACGGAAGAGAAAAUGUCUGAUAGAUGAUGAAGUGAUUAUUUCGAACAAAGUUAUGAAGGAAAUGAUAGAGGACUCAAGUAAAUUGCUUUCAAAACGGAGAAACGUAUCUCAUACUGACUGUCCUGAGAGGAGAACCAAACGUUUUGCUGCACGAAGUUUCUUGAACCCUUUGAUUCAGUAUGAUUCUGUGGAACUCCAGUCGCUUUUUUGUCAGCCCAUCAAGCUUAAAAACUGGGCAACGACAGGGUUCCCUAAAGAUGAUAAAAUUGCCAGACGUAGGGAAAAUUCUUCUCGUUUAACUGUCAGAAUUACUGGGGAUAUUUUAUCUUCUGAUCAGACUCAGAAUGCUCAAGAAAUUAUGGAGACUCCUCAGGCUUCUGCUCUUUCUGGGCUGAAAGUGACAGUAGGAAAUAUUAAAGAGGUUCCGGUUGAGAUGGAAGCUAGUUCCUCAGCUUCUGGAAGUGCUCAUCAAACAGAAAAUGCCGCAGAGACAACAGUGAAGCAUUCAGUUAUUGCUCCAGAAACACCAGUGAGGACAUCAGAGCACACAGGGAUUGCUCCAGAAACACCAGUAGUCUUCGAGCAAGUAGAGAUUGCACCUGAAACGCCGGUGAGGGAAUCAAUGUCGGCAAGAUAUUUCAAGGACCCUGAGACCUGUUAUAAAGACACCAGACCUGCAAGCCCCUUCACUUCCUUGAAUGAGCACCCGUCUGUGUAUUGUGUGGAAAACAGAGAUCUUGAUACGAUUUUAAUAAACGACGAGCAGGUGAAUGCAGAUGACAGACAGGACUUGCAACAAGAUGUUUGUUUUUGUUGCAUGUCCGUCAUCGUGAUGUCUUCUUACUAUGGAUGUUUUGAUUUGCAGAGACAUGGUCAGCAAGAACAAGGAAUGUGGCGAAAUUCUUGGAAAAGACUUUUACGGAGCAGAGGGAAAGAGAAGAAGACGAGAAGGUGAGUUUGUUGCAACUGUGUAGAGGAAGAAUACAGAAGGAAAGUGCAAGACUCUUCUACGAUACUUUGGUGUUGAAGACCAAAGGGUACUUGGAAGUGAAGCAAGAUAGUCCAUAUAGUGAUGUUCUUCUCACGCCAUUCACUAGACAACAAAAAGCUUGUUGAAAAUGAACAUUUUCUUUACUUAGAAUUCCUCAGAUUCCUUCAGUUAGGUUUCUGACUAAUGUUGUUAGCUUUUAGUAUCUUUUAACAAAGUAGCUAGUUUUGAGUUGUUCUUUCAAGUUAUUUUUAGUAAGAAUAAUUGACGAUCUAAAGUAGACAAUGUAGACUAGUCUAAAUCUGACCUUUAAACUACUUUUCAUUUUUCUCGUAUGAUUUAUUACGUUC